AAAUUGAAGAGUUUGAUCAUGGCUCAGAUUGAACGCUGGCGGCAGGCCUAACACAUGCAAGUCGAACGGUAGCACAGAGAGCUUGCUCUCGGGUGACGAGUGGCGGACGGGUGAGUAAUGUCUGGGAAACUGCCUGAUGGAGGGGGAUAACUACUGGAAACGGUGGCUAAUACCGCAUAACGUCGCAAGACCAAAGAGGGGGACCUUCGGGCCUCUUGCCAUCAGAUGUGCCCAGAUGGGAUUAGCUUGUUGGUGAGGUAACGGCUCACCAAGGCGACGAUCCCUAGCUGGUCUGAGAGGAUGACCAGCCACACUGGAACUGAGACACGGUCCAGACUCCUACGGGAGGCAGCAGUGGGGAAUAUUGCACAAUGGGCGCAAGCCUGAUGCAGCCAUGCCGCGUGUAUGAAGAAGGCCUUCGGGUUGUAAAGUACUUUCAGCGGGGAGGAAGGUGUUGUGGUUAAUAACCGCAGCAAUUGACGUUACCCGCAGAAGAAGCACCGGCUAACUCCGUGCCAGCAGCCGCGGUAAUACGGAGGGUG
rnacentral:rRNA from 1 species